rnacentral:rRNA from 1 species
UUGAACGCUGGCGGCAUGCCUUACACAUGCAAGUCGAGCGGCAGCGCGGGGGCAACCCUGGCGGCGAGCGGCGAACGGGUGAGUAAUGCAUCGGAACGUGUCCUCUUGUGGGGGAUAACCAGUCGAAAGACUGGCUAAUACCGCAUGAGAUCGAGAGAUGAAAGCAGGGGACCGCAAGGCCUUGCGCGAGAGGAGCGGCCGAUGCCGGAUUAGCUAGUUGGUGGGGUAAAGGCCUACCAAGGCGACGAUCCGUAGCUGGUCUGAGAGGACGACCAGCCACACUGGGACUGAGACACGGCCCAGACUCCUACGGGAGGCAGCAGUGGGGAAUUUUGGACAAUGGGGGCAACCCUGAUCCAGCCAUGCCGCGUGUGUGAAGAAGGCCUUCGGGUUGUAAAGCACUUUCGGCCGGAACGAAAUCGCGCGAUCUAAUAAGUCGCGUGGAUGACGGUACCGGAAGAAGAAGCACCGGCUAACUACGU